UACGAAGGGGGCUAGCGUUGCUCGGAAUCAUUGGGCGUAAAGGGUGCGUAGGCGGGUCUUUAAGUCAGGGGUGAAAUCCUGGAGCUCAACUCCAGAACUGCCUUUGAUACUGAGGAUCUUGAGUUCGGGAGAGGUGAGUGGAACUGCGAGUGUAGAGGUGAAAUUCGUAGAUAUUCGCAAGAACACCAGUGGCGAAGGCGGCUCACUGGCCCAUAACUGACGCUGAGGCACGAAAGCGUGGGGAGCAAACAGG
rnacentral:rRNA from 1 species